rnacentral:rRNA from 1 species
AGUGAACGCUGGCGGUAGGCCUAACACAUGCAAGUCGAACGGCAGCACAGUAAGAGCUUGCUCUUACGGGUGGCGAGUGGCGGACGGGUGAGGAAUACAUCGGAAUCUACUUUUUCGUGGGGGAUAACGUAGGGAAACUUACGCUAAUACCGCAUACGACCUACGGGUGAAAGCAGGGGAUCUUCGGACCUUGCGCGAUUGAAUGAGCCGAUGUCGGAUUAGCUAGUUGGCGGGGUAAAGGCCCACCAAGGCGACGAUCCGUAGCUGGUCUGAGAGGAUGCGCAGCCACACUGGAACUGAGACACGGUCCAGACUCCUACGGGGGGCAGCAGUGGGGAAUAUUGGACGAUGGGCGCAAGCCUGAUCCAGCCAUCCCGCGUGGGUGAAGAAGGCCUUCGGGUUGUAAAGCCCUUUUGUUGGGAAAGAAAAGCAGCAGGUUAAUCCCCCGCUGUUCUGACGGUACCCAAAGAAUAAGCACCGGCUAACUUCGUG